rnacentral:rRNA from 1 species
CACCCGUUCCCAUGCCGAACACGGUAGUUAAGCCCUCUACCGCCGAUGGUACUGCACGGGUAACUGUGUGGGAGAGUAGGUCACUGCCGGGA